GCCGGCAGCCAUAUCACCCUGUAGCCCAAGACUGGUUGCCCACUGAAGCUAAGCAGGGUUGAGCCUGGUCAGUACCUGGAUGGGAGACCUCCUGGGAAAACUAGGUUGCUGCUGGAA
rnacentral:rRNA from 1 species